rnacentral:piRNA from 1 species
UAGCUCCAAGGUUCCUUCCCGAUAGAGCCUGU